AUUGAACGCUGGCGGCAGGCUUAACACAUGCAAGUCGAGGGGUAGAAGGAGCUUGCUCCUUUGAGACCGGCGCACGGGUGCGUAACGCGUAUGCAAUCUACCUUAUACAGGGGGAUAGCCCAGAGAAAUUUGGAUUAAUACCCCAUAGUAUUACGAAAAGGCAUCUUUUUGUAAUUAAAGUUCCAACGGUAUAAGAUGAGCAUGCGUCCCAUUAGCUCGUUGGUGUGGUAACGGCACACAAAGGCAACGAUGGGUAGGGGUCCUGAGAGGGGGAUCACCCACACUGGUAGUGAGACACGGCCCAGACGCAUACGGGAGGCAGCAGUGAUGAAUAUUGGUCGAUGAGCGCAAGCCUGAACCAGCCAUGCCGCGUGCAGGAUGACGGUCCUAUGGAUUGUAAACUGCUUUUGUACAGGAAGAAACACUCCCUCGUGAGGGAGCUUGACGGUACUGUAAGAAUAAGGAUCGGCUAACUCCGUGCCAGCAGCCGCGGUAACAC
rnacentral:rRNA from 1 species